rnacentral:rRNA from 1 species
GGGUUGUGAGGUUAAGCGACUAAGCGUACACGGUGGAUGCCCUGGCAGUCAGAGGCGAUGAAGGACGUGCUAAUCUGCGAAAAGCGCCGGCGAGGUGAUAUGAACCUUUGACCCGGCGAUGUCCGAAUGGGGAAACCCAGUGCAAUUCGUUGCACUAUCGUUAACUGAAUACAUAGGUUAACGAGGCGAACCGGGGGAACUGAAACAUCUAAGUACCCCGAGGAAAAGAAAUCAACCGAGAUUCCCCCAGUAGCGGCGAGCGAACGGGGAUCAGCCCAUUAAGUUAUGUGUGUUUUAGUGGAACGCUCUGGGAAGUGCGAACGUAGAGGGUGAUAUUCCCGUACACGAAAGGGCACACAUAAUGAUGACGUGUAGGGCGAGGCACGUGAAACCUUGUCUGAAUAUGGGGGGACCAUCCUCCAAGG